GACGAACGCUGGCGGCGUGCUUAACACAUGCAAGUCGAACGACGUGGCGAACGGGUGAGUAACGCGUAAUCAACCUGCCCUUCAGAGGGGGACAACAGUUGGAAAAGACUGAUAAUACCGCAUACUGAAGGAGGGGAUUGCGUCUGGUUAGCUAGUUGGAAGGGUAACGGCCAACACAGGCGAUGAUCAGUAGCCGGUCUGGUAGGAGGAACGGCCACAUGGGGACUGAGACACGGCCCAGACGCCUACGGGAGGCAGCAGUGGGGAAUCUUACGCAAUGGACGAAAGUCUGACGGAGCAACGCCGCGUGAGUGAUGACGGCCUUCGGGUUGUAAAGCUCUGUUAAUCGGGACGCGGUACCGGAAUAGAAAGCCACGGCUAACUACGUGCCAGCAGCCGCGGUAAUAC
rnacentral:rRNA from 1 species